rnacentral:misc_RNA from 1 species
GAGGAUCAGAUUCUUAACUAGCUUCGGCAUUUACUUGACAUGAACUGUCUAACUGAUUAAUGAUCUGAGUUGAUUUUUCCUUUUACUUUUAAUUUUGGAGAAUUAGAUUUGUUUACAUUGUAAGAUAUAUAUUAUCCUCUCUUGAAAGUAAAGAAUGAUUAUUUCCUCUGUCCAUAGCUGAUCCAGUAGUUGUUCUUAUUUAUAUGCUUAAUUAGUUGUGUGUUUAAUUACUAUUAAAGAUUUGAGCUUUCAUGAAUGUUGAUAAACUCAGUUGGUUUCAAUAACUUGUACACUAGAUGGGUUCUUUUCUCUAAGGUUUUCCUACCAUUUGGAUUUGGUCAGCUUUUAUUCUUGUUAAUUUGUUUUAUCUAGGAUUUAUUUUAUAUGGAUGCCAAUUCAAGUUGUUAA